CCUACGGGGGGCAGCAGUAGGGAAUCUUCCACAAUGGGCGAAAGCCUGAUGGAGCAACGCCGCGUGGGUGAAGAAGGUCUUCGGAUCGUAAAACCCUGUUGUUAGAGAAGAAAGUGCGUGAGAGUAACUGUUCACGUUUCGACGGUAUCUAACCAGAAAGCCACGGCUAACUACGUGCCAGCAGCCGCGGUAAUACGUAGGUGGCAAGCGGUAUCCGGAUUUAUUUGGCGUAAAGGGAACGCAGGCGGUCUUUUAAGUCUGAUGUGAAAGCCGUCGGCUUAACCGGAGUAGUGCAUUGGAAACUGGGAGACUUGAGUGCAGAAGAGGAGAGUGGAAUUCCAUGUGUAGCGGUGAAAUGCGUAGAUAUAUGGAAGAACACCAGUGGCGAAAGCGGCUCUCUGGUCUGUAACUGACGCUGAGGCUCGAAAGCGUGGGUAGCAAACAGGAUUAGAUACCCGAGUAGUC
rnacentral:rRNA from 1 species